GAGCGGAAGACAGGAGCUUGCUCCUGAAUUCAGCGGCGGACGGGUGAGUAAUGCCUAGGAAUCUGCCUGGUAGUGGGGGAUAACGUUUGGAAAGGAACGCUAAUACCGCAUACGUCCUACGGGAGAAAGCAGGGGACCUUCGGGCCUUGCGCUAUCAGAUGAGCCUAGGUCGGAUUAGCUAGUUGGUGAGGUAAUGGCUCACCAAGGCGACGAUCCGUAACUGGUCUGAGAGGAUGAUCAGUCACACUGGAACUGAGACACGGUCCAGACUCCUACGGGAGGCAGCAGUGGGGAAUAUUGGACAAUGGGCGAAAGCCUGAUCCAGCCAUGCCGCGUGUGUGAAGAAGGUCUUCGGAUUGUAAAGCACUUUAAGUUGGGAGGAAGGGCAUUAACCUAAUACGUUAGUGUUUUGACGUUACCGACAGAAUAAGCACCGGC
rnacentral:rRNA from 1 species